GAUGAACGCUAGCGGCAGGCCUAAUACAUGCAAGUCGGACGGGAUCCAUCGGUAGCUUGCUAUCCAUGGUGAGAGUGGCGCACGGGUGCGUAACGCGUGAGCAACCUGCCUCCAUCAGGGGGAUAGCCUCUCGAAAGAGAGAUUAACACCGCAUAACAUAUCAGACCGGCAUCGGUCGGAUAUCAAAUAUUUAUAGGAUGGAGAUGGGCUCGCGUGACAUUAGCUUGUUGGUGGGGUAACGGCCCACCAAGGCGACGAUGUCUAGGGGCUCUGAGAGGAGAAUCCCCCACACUGGUACUGAGACACGGACCAGACCCCUACGGGAGGCAGCAGUAAGGAAUAUUGGUCAAUGGGCGGAAGCCUGAACCAGCCAUGCCGCGUGCAGGAUGACUGCCCUAUGGGUUGUAAACUGCUUUUGUCCGGGAAUAAACCUCCUUACGUGUAGGGAGCUGAAUGUACCGGAAGAAUAAGGAUCGGCUAACUCCGUG
rnacentral:rRNA from 1 species